UGGGAUGAAGCCUACUUGAUCAUGGUGGU
rnacentral:piRNA from 1 species